AUUGAACGCUGGCGGCAGGCCUAACACAUGCAAGUCGAGCGGAUGAAGGGAGCUUGCUCCUGGAUUCAGCGGCGGACGGGUGAGUAAUGCCUAGGAAUCUGCCUGGUAGUGGGAGAUAACGUCCGGAAACGGGCGCUAAUACCGCAUACGUCCUGAGGGAGAAAGUGGGGGAUCUUCGGACCUCACGCUAUCAGAUGAGCCUAGAUCGGAUUAGCUAGUUGGUGGGGUAAAGGCCUACCAAGGCGACGAUCCGUAACUGGUCUGAGAGGAUGAUCAGUCACACAGGAGCUGAGACACGGGCCAGACUCCUACGGGAGGCAGCAGUGGGGAAUAUUGGACAAUGGGCGAAAGCCUGAUCCAGCCAUGCCGCGUGUGUGAAGAAGGUCUUCGGAUUGUAAAGCACUUUAAGUUGGGAGGAAGGGCAGUAAGUUAAUACCUGGCUGUUUUGACGUUACCAACAGAAUAAGCACCGGCUAACUUCGU
rnacentral:rRNA from 1 species